AUACGGAUGGUUCGAGCGUUGUUCGGAAUUACUGGGCGUAAAGGGCGCGUAGGCGGCGAUGUAAGUCAAAUGUGAAAGUCCUCGGCUUAACCGGGGAAGUGCAUCUGAAACUGCAUUGCUUGAGUAUGGGAGAGGAAAGUGGAAUUCCCGGUGUAGAGGUGAAAUUCGUAGAGAUCGGGAGGAAUACCGGUGGCGAAGGCGACUUUCUGGACCAAUACUGGCGCUGAGGCGCGAAAGCGUGGGGAGCAAACGGGAUUAGAAACCCUAGUAGUCC
rnacentral:rRNA from 1 species